rnacentral:lncRNA from 1 species
AUGUUCACUUGGCUACGCAUGCCUCUCUCUAAUAUCAAUAUGCCUUGUCCAUUACUGUCCUGGUUAGUGAUUACUGUCUUAUUUCACUGUAGAGCCUCUAGCCCUGCUCAAUAUGCCUUAACCAACCAUGUUGUUCCACCUCCUACAUAUGCGAUGACAUCACCUGGUUUAAACAUCUCUAGAGACUAUAUCUCUCUCUUCAUUACUCAAUGCCUAGGUUUACCUCCAAUGUACUCACAUCCUACCUUACAUUUGUCUGUACACUAUGCCUUGAAUCUAUGCUAUCGUGCCCAGAAACCUGCUCCUUUUACUCUCUGUUCUGAACGUGCUAGACGGCCAGUUCGUAUAGUCUUUAGCCUUACCCUUAUCCUACUUCUCCUCUGUUUCUCUGGUGAUGUGGAAGUUGAUCCAGGUCCUGCAGUGCCUAGCUCCACUCCCACCCCCCAGGUGCUCUCAUUUGUUUACUUCUGUAAACGUAAAAGCCUUGGUUUCAUGCAUGUUAACAUUAGAAGCCUACUCCCUAAGUUUGUUUUACUCACUGCUUUAGCACACUCUGCCAACCCAGAUGUCUUAGCCGUGUCUGAAUCCUGGCUUAGGAAAACCACCAAAAACCCUGAAAUCUCCAUUGCUAACUAUAACGUUUUCCGCCAAGAUAGAACUGCUAAAGGGGGCGGUGUUGCAAUCUACUGCAAAGAUAGCCUGCAGAGUUCUGUCUUACUAUCCAGAUCUUUACCCAAACAAUUUGAGCUUCUACUUCUAAAAAUUAACCUUUCCAGAAACAAGUCUUUCACUGUUGCCGCUUGCUAUAGACCUCCCUCUGCCCCCUACUGUGCCCUCGAUACUAUAUGUGCCCCCCAUCUAUCUUCUGAGCUCGUGCUACUAGGUGACCUAAACGGGAACAUGCUUAACACCCCGGCCAUCCUACAAACUAAGCUUGAUGCCCUCAAUCUCACACAAAUUAUCAAUGAACCUGCCAGGUACAACCCCAAAUCAGUAAACACGGGCACCCUCAUAGAUGUCAUCCUAACUAAUUUGCCCUCCAAAUACACCUCUGCUGCUUUCAGUCAAGACCUCAGCGAUCACUGCGUAAUGGGUCUGCGACCAAACGACCACCCCUCAUCACUGUCAAACGCUCCCUGA